GAGACACCCUUCUGGGGCAAGAUUGCUUCCGUGGGGCUUUGGUGCUCACUGAGUCUGCCCCCUGAGUGUGUCCCU
rnacentral:pre_miRNA from 1 species